rnacentral:lncRNA from 1 species
GGAUCAGAAGGCACUGCUUUUUUUAGCCAAGGUACACAAUAUCACACAUUUAAGAUAGAGAUGAAAUAAUCAUGUAAACUUAAUCAGUCACCACCAAGGGGGGUCCAUUACCUAAAUGGGGAAACAAAAAUAGAAAAAUGAAAGGAACCUAAAACAACUCUAAAAAUAGAAACUAUGUAGAACCUAAUCAAUUCCUCCUAUAAGUAACCUAAACGAAUCCUAUAUAAUGGAAAACAAUCUAAAACUGGGAAUUGAAACUAAACAGAUCCAAACACAAUGAAAUAGAACAUAGAAUACAUC